CCUACGGGGGGCUGCAGUAAGGAAUAUUGGUCAAUGGACGCAAGUCUGAACCAGCCAUGCCGCGUGGAGGAUGAAGGUCCUCUGGAUUGUAAACUUCUUUUAUUUGGGAAGAAACUCCCGAUUUCCAUCGGGAUUGACGGUACCAGAUGAAUAAGCACCGGCUAACUCCGUGCCAGCAGCCGCGGUAAUACGGAGGGUGCAAGCGUUAUCCGGAUUCAGUGGGUUUAAGGGGGCAGGUAAGGCAGUGGUAGAAUCUCCGUGCUUAGCCCGGAAACUGCCAUUGAUACUAUUUGUCUUGAGUUCUCUGGAGGUGAGCGGAAUAUGUCAUGUAGCGGUGAAAUGCUUAGAUAUGACAUAGAACACCCAUUGCGAAGGCAGCUCACUACGGAAAUAUUGACGCUGAGGCACGAAAGCGUGGGGAUCAAACAGGAUUAGAUACCCCAGUAGUC
rnacentral:rRNA from 1 species